CAGGUGAGACAGGUGAGAUUGCCUUCACAUCACAUUGGCAGGGAACUGUAGGCAGCGACUGCACCAGAGCCCUUUAAAGACAGAGUCGCGUCACCUCCGUUCACUUCAGUGGACCAGUUUUCACAGCAAUGGCGGAUCAUGCAGCGUCUGAAUAGUUCCCGGAAGUUAGCAUCAAAUGCUAACAGCGCAGCGGAGCUGCAAUAGAAAAUGCUGUCUGGGAUGCACGUUUGAAAGGUAAGACGUGUAAAAAACAAGAUUAUGUAUUAUUAGCACAACUGAAUGAAGAUAACAUGUGCAUUAAAAGAUGUUAGUGGACGUCCCCACUAAAUUAGAAGAUUUAGGGACAUUAACGGUUAACAAGCAGCACACAAUAUAAACAGGGGCAGCUUAUUAAUUUAUUUUAAAAUACGUAUUUUUGGGGGGUGGGAUUUAAUAGUAUUUAAAUAUUUUAGUGGUGCAUGUAUAAAUAAAAUAUUUCAAAACGUCAUUUAUUUAUUUGGGGGGAGUUAUCCCUAACACUAAAAGUAGUAUACUUGUCACGAGGUCUCAACUAUGACUACGCUGGGAGGGUCUGUGUGUGGUUGUCUGUGUUUUCUUACUUCCUGUUUCUGAGUGUGUGAGGCUGGCUGGUGUGUUUUGGUUUUUCUCUCUACCUUUGCAGUUUGACAGGAGGCGUGACUGGUGGGGAAGCAUGGGGCUCACUCACCUGUCUGGCAGACUGAUUAGCACACCUGAUCCAUAUCAUGUGGUUCUGUGCUGCUUCAUAAGCCCUGCAGUUCUCCUCAGCCUUCGCUGGAUUGUUAUGUUGUAUAGAGUAGGUCUUUUGCUGGCACCCAGCCUUGUUGCGACCAUUGUUCUCUGUUAUGCCUUGUGAUUAACUUUGUCUUUGGUUUUCUCAGUCUGGAGAGGACGCCUUCCCUUAUGCCCAUACCUGCCUGUUUUUUCUGGAGGAGCAAACACUGCCUGCCGUCCCUGCCUAUCAAUAAAGUCUGUGAAAAGGCCUCCCGUCUGAGGCUGCUACUGGGUUCUGGUUAAACCAUAUCUGACAAUACUAGCAUAUUAUAAAAACAAUGUUCAUUAAUUAUAUUAGAGCAGUAGACUCUGCGAGGUGGAGGAGCAGUGAUGUUAAAGAGGACUGAGUGCACAAGAAUCACAGGGGGUUCAGUGGAGCCUGAAGAUCAUCUGCAGUGAUGUUUUAAUAAACCAAACAUAAAGCCAGUGAUGUGUUCUUUCUCCGUGGAAAAAGUACCCCUCAUAUUUUUUUGUUGUUAGCGUCUUUACUGGUUGUAAGUUGCUCCUGUUGACCUGAGUUAACCAUUUUUUCCCUCCUCACCAUGUCAGCUGGGAAACCAAACAUUCGUACUCAUUUUUCUGACUGACUGCAGCAUCAUCUCCACACAGCACAAUAAACUGUGCUGUAGACUAUUGACUUCCGGGAACUAUCUGCGGUCUCCGUGAACCACGUGACGAUGUAACAUUUUGGACCCCUGCU